GCCCUGUUAGCUCAAUUGGCAGAGCGUGGGACUUUUAAAAAUUAAAUAAACCAGCAGGUUUAUCCCAAGGUUGUGGGUUCGAGACCCACAUGGGGCG